rnacentral:rRNA from 1 species
UAAGGAAUAUUGGACAAUGGUCGGAAGACUGAUCCAGCCAUGCCGCGUGAAGGAAGAAGGCGCUCAGCGUUGUAAACUUCUUUUGGACGGGAAUAAUAACCUCCACGAGUUGGGGGCUUGAAGGUACCGUCAGAAUAAGCACCGGCUAACUCCGUGCCAGCAGCCGCGGUAAUACGGAGGGUGCGAGCGUUAUCCGGAAUCACUGGGUUUAAAGGGUGCGUAGGCGGCCUCAUAAGUCAGUUGUGAAAUA